rnacentral:rRNA from 1 species
GAAAACGACUGCUAAGACUGGAUAGGCGACAAGAGGGCAUCUUCUUGUUUUUAAAAGACCUAGCAAUAGGUAUGCUUAGGGAGGAGCUUGCGUCACAUUAGUUAGUUGGUGGGGUAAAGGCCUAACAAGACUAUGAUGUGUAGCCGGGCUGAGAGGUUGAACGGCCACAUUGGGACUGAGACACGGCCCAAACUCCUACGGGAGGCAGCAGUAGGGAAUUUUCGGCAAUGGAGGAAACUCUGACCGAGCAACGCCGCGUGAACGAUGAAGUAUUUCGGUACGUAAAGUUCUUUUAUUAGGGAAGAAUAAAUGAUGGAAAAAUCAUUCUGACGGUACCUAAUGAAUAAGCCCCGGCUAACUAUGUGCCAGCAGCCGCGGUAAUACAUAGGGGGCAAGCGUUAUCCGGAAUUAUUGGGCGUAAAGGGUGCGUAGGCGGUUAAAUAAGUUUAUGGUCUAAGUGCAAUGCUCAACAUUGUGAUGCUAUAAAAACUGUUUAGCUAGAGUAAGAUAGAGGCAAGUGGAAUUCCAUGUGUAGUGGUAAAAUGCGUAAAUAUAUGGAGGAACACCAGUAGCGAAGGCGGCUUGCUGGGUCUUUACUGACGCUGAGGCACGAAAGCGUGGGGAGCAAACAGGAUUAGAUACCCUGGUAGUCCACGCCGUAAACGAUGAGUACUAAACGUUGGGUAAAACCAGUGUUGAAGUUAACACAUUAAGUACUCCGCCUGAGUAGUACGUACGCAAGUAUGAAACUUAAAGGAAUUGACGGGACUCCGCACAAGCGGUGGAUCAUGUUGUUUAAUUCGAAGGUACCCGAAAAACCUCACCAGGUCUUGACAUGCUUCUGCAAAGCUGUAGAAACACAGUGGAGGUUAUCAGUUGCACAGGUGGUGCAUGGUUGUCGUCAGCUCGUGUCGUGAGAUGUUGGGUUAAGUCCCGCAACGAGCGCAACCCUUAUUGUUAGUUACCAGCACGUAAUGGUGGGGACUUUAGCAAGACUGCCAGUGAUAAAUUGGAGGAAGGUGGGGACGACGUCAAAUCAUCAUGCCCCUUAUGACCUGGGCUACAAACGUGAUACAAUGGCUGUUACAAAGAGUAGCAGAAGCGCAAGUUUUUGGCAAAUCCUCAAAAAAACAGUCUCAGUUCGGAUUGAAGUCUGCAACUCGACUUCAUGAAGUUGGAAUCGCUAGUAAUCGCGAAUCAGCAUGUCGCGGUGAAUACGUUCUCC